rnacentral:rRNA from 1 species
AGAUUGAACGCUGGCGGCAGGCCUAACACAUGCAAGUCGAGCGGUAGAGAGGUGCUUGCAUCUCUUGAGAGCGGCGGACGGGUGAGUAAUGCCUAGGAAUCUGCCUAGUGGUGGGGGAUAACGUUCGGAAACGGACGCUAAUACCGCAUACGUCCUACGGGAGAAAGCGGGGGACCUUCGGGCCUCGCGCCAUUAGAUGAGCCUAGGUCGGAUUAGCUAGUUGGUGAGGUAAUGGCUCACCAAGGCGACGAUCCGUAACUGGUCUGAGAGGAUGAUCAGUCACACUGGAACUGAGACACGUCCAGACUCCUACGGGAGGCAGCAGGUGGGGAAUAGUUGGACAGGUGGGACGAAAGCCUAGAUCAGCCAUCGCCGCGUGUGUGAAGAAGGUCUUCGGAUUGAAAGCUACGUUUAAGUGGGAAGGUAAGGUUAGUAAACCGUAAUACGUUGACUAACGUUUGAACCGUUACCGACAAGUAAUAAGCAACCGGCUAACGUUCGUGACCUACGCAGGACCGUA